UAUAAAACGUGGCUUUCAUAGGAACAUAAUGAAAUGACUUACCCGAGCAGGACUGCACUGUUUCGCUAAUUAAUACGGUGAAUGCAGCUGUAAAAACCAGACUCCUUAACCCCAACAUCAUUUGGAAAGAAGCGGUUGCUUGCCUCCCUUGAUCCUGGAUCUCUUGAUUUGUCCUUUUGUGGGGUUUAAGCUGAAGCCACCAACCAGUGAAAUAUUAGACGCACUCGUUCACCGAUCUGUUACGAUGAACAUGACAAGCUUAGAUUUAGCUUUUCAAGUUGAGCCGGAAAGGCAGGCAUAACUUGGGUCAUUUGGCUUGAGGCAGCUGGACAAUGUGCUUUCAGAGGCCGCAUGUGUUGAAUUUGGGCGUACGUGGGCAUCUGAGGCAGAGAAAGAACCUGUAGAGUUAGCCAUAUUGCGUGCGGUCGGUUUUAGGCUCAAUCGAUCCAAGUCUCUUUCUUGUAACUGGCACUGGCAGAGCAAAGACUUGAAGCUUUUUUUAGAA